UCAUAUAACACUGAAAAGGUGCCAACCCUUCUGCAUUCCCGCAGUGCUAUCCAGAACUGGCACACAGUUCUACAUUCGCUCUAGGCACUUUUGCUGUGGGAAAAUCUGAGAUUUUGUGGAAAAUGUGUUCCAGAGCCUUUUGAAUCAGUUGUGCGUAACAGUGGCCAGUUCAGUGCAUGUGAUGGAG
rnacentral:lncRNA from 1 species